GAUCUCCACGUCUUGGAGGCCGCCGGGAUAGGUGUGCGCCUGGCAGAACCUCACAAAUACACAUGCACGCAGGCUCCGACUGAAUCCAGGGCUGUAGGGGCUAAAGAGGUCUAGGGCAGUAGAGGCCUGAAGCCCAGGCUGGUCUGUCCAAGGAAAAAGGAGCGUGAUUGGUACCAGAUCUUCGUUCCCUGCAGAACCUUGACAGUUGAACAAGUGACCUCCUCCAGAACAGAUGGAGAGUCUCCAGAAGCAGAGGCUUUAGUGAACGAAAUUCGCAAUAAUCAGCUCCAGAUCCUGAAAAGGAGGGCGAAGAAUCACUGGCCAAAGCUAACCGCUUCAUACCCACACUUCAUCCUCCUCAGUUUCUCUCCAGGCCACCAUGUCUGCAGGCAACGGCACCCCUUGGGGUCAGCAGCGGGGGAGGAGGUCUGGGCUGGAUCAGGAGUGGAGGUGGAGGGCUCAGAGCUGCCCACCUUCUCGGCAGCAGCCAAGGUCCGAGUGGGAGUGACCAUUGUGCUGUUUGUUUCUUCGGCUGGAGGGAACCUGGCAGUCCUGUGAUGCCACCUGGAAUAUCACUGUUCAAUGGCUGGCUGUGGACAUCCCAUGUCGGACACUCAUGUUCCUGAAACUAAUGGCCACGUAUUCUGCAGCUUUCCUGCCUGUGGUCAUUGGAUUGGACCGCCAGGCAGCAGUACUCAACCCGCUUGGAUCCCGUUCAGGUGUAAGGAAACUUCUGGGGGCAGCUUGGGGACUUAGUUUCCUGCUUGCCUUGCCCCAGGUGAGUGACCUAGGACUCAAGACCGGGCAGGACAGGGAUUUGGGUCCAUAGCAUGAGUUAAAGGGUGCGCUUGGGGGCCAUUAGCCAUUAAUUCUCAGGGAGUAAGCCUCUGCUUGCUUUUUUUUUUUUUUUUUUUUUUUUUUGCCGGCUCACUGCAACCUCCGCCUCCCGGGUUCAAGCAAUUCUCCCUCAGCCUCCCGAGAAGCUACAGGCGCCCGCUACCAUGCCCGGCUAAUUUUUGUAUUUUUAGUAGAGGCGAGGUUUCACCAUGUUGGCCAGGUGGUCUCCAUCUCUUGACCUCGUGAUCCG
rnacentral:sRNA from 1 species